UUGUAAUGGCGUGCAUCAUCGCUUUUAAUUUGAUUAUUUUUGUCUUGUAACAAACUUGAUAUUUUUGUAUCUUGUUUAGUUUACACAUCUGUGUUCUUGAUUCUGACAAUUUCCACGUGCAUCCCCUUCCGCCUGGGUGGCGAGUUUAUACACAAAAACCAAAAGCGUAAACAUUUACCGUAUAUUCCCACAGCAUUAACCGAACAUGAAAACCACGGCACAUUUGUUUCAUGUCUACCAAGUGGCAUAUUCCUCCCAUGACGCGAGAAGAGUUUUCUAGCGACAAAUGGUUCCACCUGAAGACACAGGUGCCCGCCAAAACUCUCGUGAAGAGACGAGAAACAGCCUCGCUAAAAAUAGGAAACAAUUGGGGGCAUCUCCAUCUUCAUAUUGUGAAAUCUUACGGACACCUAUGUGUAACUAAAAUGUGUGGUACCAUUUGCUACUGUUGUACGUGACAGAAAUA